CGCGUGCGGGAUGACGGCCUUCGGGUUGUAAACCGCUUUCACCCAUGACGAAGCGCGAGUGACGGUAGUGGGGGAAGAAGCACCGGCCAACUACGUGCCAGCAGCCGCGGUGAUACGUAGGGUGCGAGCGUUGUCCGGAAUUAUUGGGCGUAAAGAGCUUGUAGGCGGUUGAUCGCGUCGAUAGUGAAAUCCCGGGGCUCAACCUCGGGCUUGCUGUCGAUACGGGUUGACUUGAGGAAGGUAGGGGAGAAUGGAACUCCCGGUGGAGCGGUGGAAUGCGCAGAUAUCGGGAAGAACACCGGUGGCGAAGGCGGUUCUCUGGACCUUUCCUGACGCUGAGAAGCGAAAGCGUGGGGAGCAAACAGGCUUAGAUACCCUGGUAGUCCACGCUGUAAACGGUGGGUACUAGGUGUGGGUCGCAUUCCACGUGAUCCGUGCCGUAGCCAACGCAUUAAGUACCCCGCCUGGGGAGUACGGCCGCAAGGCUAAAACUCAAAGGAAUUGACGGGGCCCCGCACAAGCGGCGGAGCAUGCGGAUUAAUUCGAUGCAACGCGAAGAACCUUACCUGGGUUUGACAUGUACUGGAAGCGCUCAGAGAUGGGCGUGCCUUUUCGGCCGGUUCACAGGUGGUGCAUGGCUGUCGUCAGCUCGUGUCGUGAGAUGU
rnacentral:rRNA from 1 species